UACAGAGGGUGCGAGCGUUAAUCGGAAUUACUGGGCGUAAAGCGCGCGUAGGUGGCUUCGUAAGUCCGUUGUGAAAGUCAAAGGCUCAACCUUUGAAAGCCGAUGGAUACUGCGGAGCUAGAGUACGGAAGAGGCGAGUGGAAUUCCUGGUGUAGCGGUGGAAUGCGCAGAUAUCAGGAGGAACACCAAUAGCGAAGGCAGCUCGCUGGGACGUUACUGACACUGAGGCGCGAAAGCGUGGGGAGCGAACAGG
rnacentral:rRNA from 1 species